rnacentral:rRNA from 1 species
UACGGAGGGUGCAAGCGUUGCUCGGAAUUAUUGGGCGUAAAGGGUAGGUAGGUGGUCUCAUUUGUCAGGGGUGAAAGCCUUGGGCUUAACCCAAGAAGUGCCCCUGAAACGGUGAGACUCGAGUGCUGGAGAGGGUCGUGGAAUUCCCGGUGUAGCGGUGAAAUGCGUAGAGAUCGGGAGGAACACCAGGAGGCGAAGGCGGCGACCUGGACAGUGACUGACACUCAACUACGAAAGCGUGGGGAGCAAACGGG